GUUUCCAUAGAGAGGCCUCCGGGUGUCACAUGAUGGACAUGAUAUAACGAAACAACAUCGUGGGGAGGGACGGAGGGAAGCAGUGGGGGAGCCUGGGGAGGCGUCGGGGAGGUGGCGGUGCCCCCCGACCCGCCCGCCCCGGCUGCACCUGUCUCGGCGCGCCGGGAGCGCGGUGUCCGCCCCGCUGAUGGGGCUGCGGGCGGCACCUUCCCCCGGGGAGGAGGAGAAGGAGGAGGAGGAGAAGGAGGCGAGCCGGUGGCGGAGGUUUUCUGUGACUGUUCCACAUCCUCCUGCUGCAGCCAACGUGGAUCUGAAUGCCGUGGCUACAAAGGCUUGUCACUGUCUCAUGCUGGGUCCCUCACAUCCAAGAGCUACUUGGCAGUUUCCAAGGCAACCACCUGUGGAAUAAUUAAAAAGGAUGAAGUGUUAGUGUGCCACAUAUAAGGAAUUCUUGCCUGGAGAGAGCAUUUCACUUUUCUUCCGCCUUGAAGAAUCAAAACGUGCUUCUGCCAGCAAAGUUAAGAAAAAGAAACGGUGGCCGAGUUGCGCAAGUGAACCAGGACGACGCAAAAUUAGAUCAUUUUCCUAUUUUGUCCUCUGUGUGAAGAUGAUCCUUGGAAUGGUUUGGAAAACCUUACGGUGCUGGGAGGGAAGAUCAAGGGAGAUGGUUUUCCCAGUGAGAAUAACCAGUGUGGAUUUUGGAUCAAAGAAGAAGAACCCCACCCUGUUGGCUUAAUGAUCUGUCUGUGAGGUAUGAGGAAAUAAAAAAAGCAGCAGGAAACUUUCCAAUCUGCAUCUCCCAUACUCUUUACGUGCUGAAAGCAAGAUCUCAUGGAGGUUUUCCCUGCCAGCCUGAGAGCUUCUUCCAUUCUCCUCUUGUACACUCCUUACAGAGUAAGACAUAAACAACAUGAGUCACCUCUCCAAGGGUGUUUAAUAUAUAUGAAUUCCACUGAAAUUUCAGUUGUAGAGACACAGCUGGCUGGAGGCAGAGUCAAAGGUGGGUCCUGUCCCCAGUUCCAGCAAGAUCUCAUAAUCCAGGAAGAUAAUCUCUGAAAAUCAUCCUUCAAUCAGCUGAUCAUUUUACAUCCAGCCUUUUGGGAGUUAAUAACACCAGCCAGCCUACAGCAACACAUCACACACACCACCCUGCAGCAAGGCAUCCCUGUAGCUGGGGAUGUUUUCCUGGAUGUCCUGGUGAGUUCAGCAAUGUACUCUCUUCCAUGGGGUAACUAAAAAAAAGGGGUUUUGUAAACAAGUGGAGCAACUUUUGAAUAUUCAGAGGAAUUUGUAAGGUUGUGUCUGGUUGUUGGAAGCAAAUUUACCGUCCUUUUAUCCCCUCCACAUUUUUUAUGUAUAUGAAAAUGUAUUGAAAGUUUAGUGAAAGCUGGAGAAGGAAUUUUGGCAAGGAGAUAGAGUGACACGACAAGGGGGAAUGGCUUUGAACACAGAGCAGGGUUACAUUAGA